GGUCCAUGACGCUGCUGGGGAGGCGGGCGCACUGUCUAUGCGCUGGAGGAGGGUUCGAUUCCCUUAUGGACCG
rnacentral:tRNA from 1 species